UCCAUUGACUAGAAAUCAGAAGCCUCAAGUUGGAAAUCAGAGGUAUGCCGUAUGUAACAUAUUGGUGUAGAAUAGAAAUUGUUGAGAUGUUUCAGUUCUGAUACAUGUAGGAUAUUUUUGCAAAAUACAUCUACCAUGCUUAUGUCUGUCUCGUGUAAACUCGGAGCAAAUUUGCCCCAUGCCCAACUAUUGCAAUAUGUCUGGAUAUCUCUAGAAAAUAGAAUUCGCCUAGUUUGCAUUUUUAAGGAA